GUCCCUUUCGAUUAGUGGUUAGAUCAUCACGUUGUGGUCUCACCUGACCGUGGGAAAUCCGUGAAGACGCAGGCUCGACUCCUGCAUGGGACA
rnacentral:tRNA from 1 species